AUUGAACGCUGGCGGCAUGCUUUACACAUGCAAGUCGAACGGUAACAGGCCUUCGGGUGCUGACGAGUGGCGAACGGGUGAGUAAUGCAUCGGAACGUACCCAGAGGUGGGGGAUAACGCAGCGAAAGCUGUGCUAAUACCGCAUGUGAUCUGAGGAUGAAAGCGGGGGACCGAGCAGCAAUGUUUGGCCUCGCGCCUUUGGAGCGGCCGAUGUCGGAUUAGCUAGUGUGUGGGGUAAAGGCCCACCAAGGCGACGAUCCGUAGCUGGGCUGAGAGGACGACCAGCCCCACUGGGACUGAGACACGGCCCAGACUCCUACGGGAGGCAGCAGUGGGGAAUUUUGGACAAUGGGCGCAAGCCUGAUCCAGCAAUGCCGCGUGCGGGAAGAAGGCCUUCGGGUUGUAAACCGCUUUUGGCAGGAACGAAACGGUGUCCGCUAAUACCGGGCGCUAAUGACGGUACCUGCAGAAUAAGCACCGGCUAACUACGUG
rnacentral:rRNA from 1 species